GUGCUCGCUUUGGCAGCACAUAUACUAAAAUUGGAACGAUACAGAGAUGAUUAGCACGGUCCCUGCACAAGGAUGGCAUGCAAAUUCAUGAAGCACUCCAUAUUUUU